UUAUAUUUUAUUUAUUAAUUAAUUUUUUUUUUAUUAUAAAUUAUUAAAAGUAAUUAUUAUAUGAAUUGUUUAAGUAUUUUAUAGAGAAAAAAUAAUUUUAAUUAUAGUUAAAUAGUAUUGUGAAAGAAAAUUGAAAUAAUUUGAAAAAUUAAUAUUUUAAAAGAAAAUUUAAUUUAUUGUACCUUGUGUAUCAGGGUUUAUCAAAUAAAAAUUAUUUAUUAUAAUUUUCUCGAUUUUAAAAGAGUUAAUAUAUUAUUAAAGUUAAUGUGAUAAAAUUAUUUUAUAUAAUAUAUUAGAAAUGAAAUGUUAUUCGUUUUUAAAGGUAUCUAGUUCUUUAAGAAAUAAAUUUAAUUUAGGAAUUUUAUAUUAUUUAGUUAAAUAUAUUAAUUAAAUAAUUAUUUUAUUUUAAUAUUUUAUGGGAUAAGCUAUAAAAUAAAUUAUUAAAAAUUAUUAGAUAAAUUAAUAAAUAUAAGCUUAGAAAUAGCUAUUAUUAAUAAAAUUGUUAUAAUUUAUUUUAUUAUAUUGAUUAUUUAUUAAAUUUUAAUUAAUUAUUAAAGUAUUUAUUUUAAUUUAAAAAAUAAAAAAAUAAUGGUAAAAUUAGUAUAUUAUAUUGUAUAAAUAUUAAUAAUUGAGAAGUUUUUAUAAAGAACUCGGCAAAAAUAAUGUUCGCCUGUUUAACAAAAACAUGUCUUUUUGAAUUUUUUUUAAAGUCUAGCCUGCCCACUGAAUAAUUUAAAUGGCCGCAGUAUACUAACUGUGCAAAGGUAGCAUAAUCAUUAGUCUUUUAAUUGAAGGCUGGUAUGAAUGGUUGGACGAGAUAUUAACUGUUUCAUAAAAAUUUAUAAUAGAAUUUUAUUUUUUAGUCAAAAAGCUAAAAUAAAAUUAAAAGACGAGAAGACCCUAUAAAUCUUUAUAUAUAUGAAUUAUUGUAAUUUUGUAGAUUUUUUUUAUUAUAAUAAUUGAUUAUAUUUUAUUGGGGUGAUAUUAAAAUUUAAUAAACUUUUAAUUUUUAAAAUCAUUAAUUUAUGAAUAUUUGAUCCGUUAAUAACGAUUAAAAAAAUAAGUUACUUUAGGGAUAACAGCGUAAUUUUUUUGGAGAGUUCAUAUCGAUAAAAAAGAUUGCGACCUCGAUGUUGGAUUAAGAUAUAAUUUUAGGUGUAGCCGCUUAAAUUUUAAGUCUGUUCGACUUUUAAAUUCUUACAUGAUCUGAGUUCAAACCGGCGUAAGCCAGGUUGGUUUCUAUCUUUAGUAAAUUAAAAUAUUUCAGUACGAAAGGACCUAAUAUUUAAUAAAUAAUUAUUUUUAUAUUGAAUAUAAUUAAUUUAU
rnacentral:rRNA from 1 species